UACAGAGGUCCCGAGCGUUGUUCGGAUUCAUUGGGCGUAAAGGGUGCGUAGGCGGCUUCCUAAGUUUGAUGUGAAAUCCUGGGGCUCAACCCUGGAACUGCAUUGAAUACUGGGAGGCUAGAGUACUGGAGAGGAAACUGGAAUUUACGGUGUAGCAGUGAAAUGCGUAGAGAUCGUAAGGAAGACCAGUGGCGAAGGCGAGUUUCUGGACAGUUACUGACGCUGAGGCACGAAGGCCAGGGGAGCAAACGGGG
rnacentral:rRNA from 1 species